rnacentral:rRNA from 1 species
GGCUCAGGACGAACGCUGGCGGCGUGCCUAACACAUGCAAGUCGAGCGGAGAUUCAAGGAGCAGCUUGCUGCACUUUGAAUCUUAGCGGCGGACGGGUGAGUAACGCGUGGGUAAUCUGCCUCAAACAGGGGGAUAACACAGGGAAACUUGUGCUAAUACCGCAUAAGACCCCAUCAUGGCAUCAUGAAGAGGUCAAAGGAAGAAAUUCCGGUUUGAGAUGAGCCCGCGUCUGAUUAGCUAGUUGGUGAGGUAACAGCUCACCAAGGCGACGAUCAGUAGCCGAACUGAGAGGUUGAUCGGCCACAUUGGGACUGAGACACGGCCCAGACUCCUACGGGAGGCAGCAGUGGGGAAUAUUGCACAAUGGGGGGAACCCUGAUGCAGCGACGCCGCGUGAAGGAAGAAGGCCUUCGGGUUGUAACUUCUUUGACCAGGGACGAAUAA